GCGCAGUCUGUGUCGCCGCGGCCACACGGUGUUUACCUCGGCACUCUCUAGGCGCCUGUUGCCGGCCUUUUUCCGUCCCCUGUAAACCUACGUGCAAGGGUGGAGGAGAAUGUUUGUGGUGUCCGCAGCGGCAGUGAUGGGCGACGGAGGUGACGGGGCCGUGCAGAGCCGGAGCCAAGGAAUCCCUCCCGACAUGAAGCCCGCGGCAGGAAGAUCGCUUGAGUGGGUCUUAAGGAGCCGUGGGUGGCCAGCGGCGUCCCCAGCAUGCCAGGUCCCACGGCAGGAGAGCUGGGUAGGGG